ACCUACCACUAGGGGUGCGUCAUGCUGAGAGAGACGAUGAAGUCUUAACCCUUAUAAACCUGAUCUAGAUGAUGCUAGCGGAGGGAAGUGGUUGAGCAAUAGG
rnacentral:ncRNA from 2 species